rnacentral:rRNA from 1 species
AGCUCCAAUAGCGUAUAUUAAAGUUGUUGCAGUUAAAAAGCUCGUAGUUGGAUUUCUGGCAGGAGCGACCGGUCAUGCACUCUGUGCGUGAACUCGCGUUGUCUCUGGCCAUCCUCGGGGAGAUCCUGUUUGGCAUUAAGUUGUCGGGCAGGGGAUACCCGUCGUUUACUGUGAGAAAAUUAGAGUGUUUAAAGCAGGCUUAUGCCGUUGAAUAUAUUAGCAUGGAAUAAUAAGAUAGGACUUCGGAACUAUUUUGUUGGUUUGCGUUACGAAGUAAUGAUUAAUAGGGACAGUUGGGGGUAUUCGUAUUUCGUUGUCAGAGGUGAAAUUCUUGGAUUUCCGAAAGACGAACUACUGCGAAAGCAUUUACCAAGGAUGUUUUCAUUA